ensembl:lncRNA
UGGCUGAGGACUUUGCUGUGUGAACACAAAAGAGAUUGACUGCCAACACUCAGAGGUGCUAAGUAUUGUUGACAGUUCAGCAGUAAGUUAAAGUAUGUGAACAGCCCGGCGGAGCUACAAGAUAUAAUUCCAUUGGAGUAUGUGAACAUCCCUGAGAGCAUUAUCAAAGUUGAUAAAAGAAUAAACCCUGUGGUGUUUGAUCAUUCCUUGAUGACAGGCUACCCGUUUGGCCAUAUGACGCUGUGGUCAAGAGUAGACACUCGUCCUGCCUGCACACACCUGUGGUGAAGAGGAAAGGCUAUUCUACCAUACCUUAUUACUCUGCCAUGCAAGACAGAGGCACAGCAGGAAUCCAGGCAGUGUUAAACACAUAUUUUGGGACAUAUUGGAGAUUAUGAGAGUUUUUGUAAGCAAACAUGUUUUUCGAAAUGUAAUCCAUUGUUUAAAACCUGUCACACUCAAUUACUAUGUUAUUUUCCAGGAUCAUAAGGUUGUCUCCACAUACAGUACAGUUAGGGGCAUUAAAAAGGUACCUCUUCUAAAUGAUUUUGCUGUAGCACUACAUCAUUAAUGUGACACACUCGCAGGGUGACUGCAAGCUCCAAUUUUAUUAGCAAUCAUCUACCAAUAACCCAUGUAAUGAAAUACGUUUCUCAAAUAUGCCUCUGACAAUGCAGUUCUAUCAUUGUUUUUCUUGCUCUGCAGUACAGGUUAAUUUUAGGAUGCCCGCAACUGUACAAGUACAUACACUUGCAGUGCGUGCAUGCGUGUGUGUUUGUGUGACUCAAGUUGGCCACUGUGCAUUCACGUACUGUACAUUUACAUAUGUAAAAGUAAAU